CUCCAGAGGGGAGCGUCACUCUCUCCCAGCCCCGAUUUUCCCAGGAGGAGAAGCCAGGGGACGGGGUGCAGCCUCCCGGGCCCGGAUGGGGGCGCACAGCCAGAACCGCUGCCUUCCGGGGCGGGAGAGACGCGGCCGGCGGAGCCGGGGUCCCCUGAGCCCCCACCGCACACCCCACCGCACACGGUCCCGUCGCCCGCAGGGGCUGACAGGAGAAGAGGUCAGGACACAAAGACCCAGACGUGGCAGGAGGAGCCUGUGUGAAGAGAGCGGCAGCGACUGGGGCACAGGGGCAAGCACAGGAACACCAAGGAUCGCUAGCGGCCCACCAAGGAAGGACACUCCCAGAGCCCCAGAGGGAGCCCAGCCCUGCUGACACCUGAGUUCCGGCUUCUGUUCUCCAGGACUGAGAGAGGAUACAUUUCUUUCGUUUUAGCCGCCCAGUUUGUGGUGCUUUGUUCUGGCGGCCCCAGGAAACUAGCUCAAAUACUUUAAAGCAAAUCUCAAGAAUAAGAAAACAUUUUUAAA